rnacentral:tRNA from 1 species
GGGGCGGUAGUUCAACGGUAGAAUCGAGGUCUCCAAAACCUUUGAUGAGGGUUCGAUUCCUUCCCGCCCUG